GCUGGGUGUUUGGCGUGCACCUAUAAUCCUGCUUCUGGGAGGCUUGGUAGAGUGGAUGGCUUGAGUUUAGGAGCCCUGUUUCGUGAUACCGCAUGUUGAUCAGGUGCCCGCACUAAGCUUGACAUCAGCAUGGAUCUGCUAGAGGAAUCUAGUAGGUGCAGGUUAGCUAAGGAGGAGCGUAGUGGGUCAGGAGGGAAACCUAGCAGCCAAAAGUUCCCGUGUUCGGCAGUAGUGGGAUCGUGCCAGUGAGUGGGCGUCAUGCAACAGCCUCAACGAAAUAGCCAAACCUCUAUCUUU
rfam:Daphnia pulex DAPPTscaffold_109_Cont4688, whole genome shotgun sequence.